AGGUGGAGCUCUAGAUGGAGGUGGAUCGGGUACGAGAUAGGAGACUCGAGAGGAUGAGAGGCAACAUCGCAAGGUAAGAUUCCUAUUGCCACAGGAUGAUGCCUCGAGUAGGUCUCAGGUUAGGAGAAGCACAGCAUACGAUGGAGAUGGGAUCGAGCGGCCUAGCUCAACUCUCAUGUUUGUCCAUCCAUGAUCAGCAGGUGAUUGCCCAAGGACAUAGGGGCGAGG
rnacentral:lncRNA from 1 species